GAGAACGGGCUCGUGGAAAAUGGCUGGAGCAGGAUAAGUGUAAUGGUAUCAAAUGCCAUUCAAUUCGCUCCAUUCCAGGCCAUUAUUACGAGUCGUCUUCCCCUCAGCAGCCUCCACUGCUUUUAACACAACCUCCAGUCGCACACACAAUGUUACAGGGUAACGCUCUUGCCUCAGCUGGCACCUCAGACUUCGCCGGGAGCACAGCACAUCUGGAUCAGGGGCUCGGAGUGAGUGAUGGUUGAGGUUGCAGCCUGCCUGCCCCCGGACUUGCUCCAGAGACCAUCUUUGCUUGCUCUCCCCAUUUGACCACCUCCCUCCGCUGACCACUCAAGCCAUGCACUUUCCCAGCCUUACACAUGACCUUCCAUCUCAUGAAUGAUGUAGUUGUUGUUUUCUAAAUUGCUUGUCUUUUUUGUUUUGCUUUAAAUUGCUUUGAGAUUCUUUAUGCAAUGAAUAGCACCAUAAAAGUUGAAUACAUUUGUAUUAUUAUUUUACUGUAUGUCAGUUCUCAAUCAUGUGCUAUCUUUGGAAUCAGUCUUGAC